rnacentral:rRNA from 1 species
UGGGGAAUAUUGCGCAAUGGGGGAAACCCUGACGCAGCAACGCCGCGUGCGGGAUGAAGGCCUUCGGGUUGUAAACCGCUUUACAGCAGGGACGAUAAUGACGGUACCUGCAGAAGAAGCCCCGGCUAACUACGUGCCAGCAGCCGCGGUAAUACGUAGGGGGCAAGCGUUAUCCGGAUUCAUUGGGCGUAAAGCGCGCGCAGGCGGGUUGCUAAGCGGGACCUCUAAUCUUGGGGCUCAACCUCAAGCCGGGUCCCGAACUGGCAGCCUCGAGUGCGGUAGGGGUAAGCGGAAUUCCCGGUGUAGCGGUGGAAUGCGCAGAUAUCGGGAAGAACACCGAUGGCGAAGGCAGCUUACUGGGCCGUCACUGACGCUGAGGCGCGAAAGCUAGGGGAGCGAACAGGAUUAGAUACCC